rnacentral:rRNA from 1 species
UGGGGAAUAUUGGGCAAUGGGCGAAAGCCUGACCCAGCAACGCCGCGUGAGGGAAGAAGGGUUUCGGCUCGUAAACCUCUGUCCUAUGGGACGAAGGAAGUGACGGUACCAUAGGAGGAAGCCCCGGCUAACUACGUGCCAGCAGCCGCGGUAAUACGUAGGGGGCGAGCGUUGUCCGGAAUGAUUGGGCGUAAAGGGCGCGUAGGCGGCCUGUUAAGUCUGGAGUGAAAGUCCUGCUUUCAAGGUGGGAAUUGCUUUGGAUACUGAUGGGCUGGAGUGCAGGAGAGGAAAGCGGAAUUACCGGUGUAGCGGUGAAAUGCGUAGAGAUCGGUAGGAACACCAGUGGCGAAGGCGGCUUUCUGGACGAAAACUGACGCUGAGGCGCGAAAAGCGUGGGGAGCAAACAGGAUUAGAUACCC